ACGAACGCUUGCGGCGUGCCUAAGAAAUGCAAGUCGAGCGAGGUCUAGGUGCUUGCACCGAAAACCUAGCGGCGAACGGUCGCGUAACACGUAAGCAACCUGCCCUAAAGUUGGGGAUAGCCCACCGAAAGGUGGAUUAAUACCGAAUGUGGAUGUUUCCUUGCAUGUGGAGACAUCUGAAGCAGCAAUGCGCUUUAGGAUGGGCUUGCGGCCUAUCAGCUAGUUGGUGUGGGUAACGGCCCACCAAGGCGACGACGGGUAGCUGGUCUGAGAGGAUGGUCAGCCGGACUGGGACUGAGAUACGGCCCAGACUCCUACGGGGGGCAGCAAUUAGGAAUCUUGCGCAAUGGGCGAAAGCCUGACGCAGCGACGCCGCGUGACUGAUGAAGUCCUUCGGGAUGUAAAGGUCUUUUCUGGGGGAAGAAGGAUGUGACGGUACCCCAGGAAUAAGCCCCGGCUAACUACGU
rnacentral:rRNA from 1 species